rnacentral:rRNA from 1 species
CACGUAGGGUGCGAGCGUUGUCCGGAAUUAUUGGGCGUAAAGAGCUCGUAGGUGGCUUGUCGCGUCUGCCGUGAAAGCCCAUGGCUUAACUGUGGUUCUGCGGUGGAUACGGGCAGGCUGGAGGCUGGUAGGGGCAAGCGGAAUUCCUGGUGUAGCGGUGAAAUGCGUAGAUAUCUGGAGGAACACCGGUGGCGAAGGCGGCAUCCUGGACCAACACUGACACUGAGGAGCGAAAGCCAGGGGAGCAAACGGG